rnacentral:rRNA from 1 species
UGGGCAACCUGCCCCUCUCUCUGGGAUAACCCCGGGAAACCGGAGCUAAUACCGGAUACUCCGGCUGGAUCGCAUGGUCCGGCCGGGAAAGGUCCGCCGGAGAGGGAUGAGCCCGCGGCCUAUCAACUUGUUGGUGGGGUCAUGGCUCACCAAGGCGACGACGGGUANCUGGUCUGAGAGGACGACCAGCCACACUGGAACUGAGAUACGGUCCAGACUCCGUACGGGAGCA